ACAAGUUCAAGAAGAACAACAAAACAGCAGGAAGGCCAUUGACACGUUAAAAACGAAAAACUCACAUGUUUUUGCCGUGGAAAGCACGUCGUGGGGUGUAAGUACAUAGAUAGCAUUCUCAAAACUUGACAUUAUAAUCCAAUAAUUGCAGGUUUCUCUGAGUUCGAAUUUGGCUAAACUAUUCCUAAUGUCUGAAAGUAUAGAGAAAUAGGAGACGAAGUCAUCAAGGUUAUUAAUCAGAAUUGAUAUAACAAACAUUAUUACUAGACACAAAUGAGAGUAUGUAUGGACAUGGAUGAUAGGGCAGACACGGAGGUACUGUCAAUAACUCUAAAAUGGUGCAAAAAAGGUUGAGCGACAUGCGUAUCGAUGAAAGGCGCAAGGUGCUAGGUCGCCAACCUUACAAAGGAUUUCCCCUGAAGAAAUGUAGUGACCUAGCCAAAGAGACUGAGAACUUUGAAGGCUCCCAUGGACCGAGAGAUCGAGACAGCAUACACCCAUAAUUUAGCCCUGCUAAGAAAGUAUGCAAGAGAAAACCCCCAUUAAAGCUCAACAACCUGCACACCAAUCGGCAGUCAUCGAGUCGUGACAUUGCCAAGAGAUUUGCAGUGAUGGAGCAACUCUACUUCCUACUUAACAAGAGUGU